rnacentral:lncRNA from 1 species
UUGUGCCUUGAUAGGAAUUCUACUGUGAAAUUUGCAUGAAUGCAUGAUGGCUUACUGAGUUCUGAUCGAGGAGGCCGUCGGUCAAUGGUGCACUUACAGAAGCUGAGAGACGAGUUGCAGAGGGUGGAGCUAUGAGGGGAGAGUGGUAUUUAGUUGUAGAUUAAAACAUUGGAGGGUGUUCAAAAACAGAGAAAGAAAAGGGUCGAGGAGGAGGCUCCGUCGUCGCCGGAACUUUCC